CAGAGUCCUCCGGGGUCACAGCCCUCGCCACACGCACAGCCUCCACCUCACAAUGCUAGCAGCAUGAUGGGACCCCACAGUCAGCCUUUUAUGUCACCGCGAUACGCAGGCAGCCCCGGGCCCCUGAUCAGAGUGGGAAUCCAGCCUCCAGGAGGAGUUCCUGGGACACAGCCAUUGCUGCCCAAUUCUAUGGAUUCC